UACGUAGGGUGCAAGCGUUAAUCGGAAUUACUGGGCGUAAAGCGUGCGCAGGCGGCUUUGCAAGACUGAUGUGAAAUCUCCGGGCUCAACCUGGGAAUGGCAUUGGAUACUGGCUCGCUCGAGUGCGGUAGAGGGUGGUGGAAUUCCCGGUGUAGCAGUGAAAUGCGUAGAGAUCGGGAGGAACAUCUGUGGCGAAGGCGGCCACCUGGACCAGCACUGACACUGAGGCACGAAAGCGUGGGGAGCAAACAGG
rnacentral:rRNA from 1 species